UGGGGAAUAUUGCACAAUGGGCGCAAGCCUGAUGCAGCCAUGCCGCGUGUGUGAAGAAGGCCUUCGGGUUGUAAAGCACUUUCAGCGGGGAGGAAGGCGAUAAGGUUAAUAACCUUGUCGAUUGACGUUACCCGCAGAAGAAGCACCGGCUAACUCCGUGCCAGCAGCCGCGGUAAUACGGAGGGUGCAAGCGUUAAUCGGAAUUACUGGGCGUGAAGCGCACGCAGGCGGUUUGUUAAGUCAGAUGUGAAAUCCCCGGGCUCAACCUGGGAACUGCAUCUGAUACUGGCAAGCUUGAGUCUCGUAGAGGGGGGUAGAAUUCCAGGUGUAGCGGUGAAAUGCGUAGAGAUCUGGAGGAAUACCGGUGGCGAAGGCGGCCCCCUGGACAAAGACUGACGCUCAGGUGCGAAUGCGUGGGGAGCAAACAGG
rnacentral:rRNA from 1 species